UACGUAGGGGGCUAGCGUUGUCCGGAAUCAUUGGGCGUAAAGAGCGUGUAGGCGGUCCGGUAAGUCCGCUGUGAAAGUCGGGGGCUCAACCCUCGAAUGCCGGUGGAUACUGUCGGGCUAGAGUGCGGAAGAGGCGAGUGGAAUUCCUGGUGUAGCAGUGAAAUGCGUAGAGAUGUGGAGGAAUACCGAUGGCGAAGGCAGCCCCCUGGGAUAACACUGACGCUCAUGCACGAAAGCGUGGGGAGCAAACAGG
rnacentral:rRNA from 1 species